rfam:Gaeumannomyces graminis var. tritici R3-111a-1 unplaced genomic scaffold supercont2.3, whole genome shotgun sequence.
GACAACGUGGGAGAGUGGUUAAUCCGUUGGCCUGCUAUUUCCAGGAGUAACAAAGCCAAUGCCUUCGGGCGCGCGCGUUCGAAUCGCGUCGUUGUCG